rnacentral:rRNA from 1 species
UACGAAGGGGGCUAGCGUUGCUCGGAAUCACUGGGCGUAAAGGGUGCGUAGGCGGGGCUUUAAGUCAGGGGUGAAAUCCUGGAGCUCAACUCCAGAACUGCCUUUGAUACUGAAGAUCUUGAGUUCGGGAGAGGUGAGUGGAACUGCGAGUGUAGAGGUGAAAUUCGUAGAUAUUCACAAGAACACCAGUGGCGAAGGCGGCUCACUGGCCCGAUACUGACGCUGAGGCGCGAAAGCCAGGGGAGCAAACGGG